UACGAAGGGUGCAAGCGUUGUUCGGAUUUACUGGGCGUAAAGGGCGCGUAGGCGGCCACCGCAAGUCGGUUGUGAAAUCUCUGGGCUUAACCCAGAAAGGUCAACCGAUACUGCGGGGCUAGAGUGCAGAAGGGGCAACUGGAAUUCUCGGUGUAGCGGUGAAAUGCGUAGAUAUCGAGAGGAACACCUGCGGCGAAGGCGGGUUGCUAGGCUGACACUGACGCUGAGGCGCGAAAGCCAGGGGAGCAAACAGG
rnacentral:rRNA from 1 species